UGCUUGUCUGAAGGUAGUGAGUUAUCCCUAUUGAUUGUUCACAGUCAGUUACAGAUUGGAGUCUUUGUUCUAUUCUUCUCCCCCGUCUCACUACUGCACUUGACUAGUCUUUU
rnacentral:Y_RNA from 1 species